AACAUCAGUAUGUCACUUGAAAUGCGUCGACUCGGUUCGGUGGUAUCGUGAAGUAAGACUAUUUUUCCGCUGUGUUAUUCGGUGAGUGUAGCCCAGAUCCCGCACCGACUUUGCCUGAGUUGUCCCAACUUCGAAGACUUCCAUCCGGAAUUGAUCGAUUGAUCAGCGGAACGGGUUGGUGCCAUUUUCGGCAGGAACUGCGGCUGUGGCUGUUAAUAUAUUCCGCACGGCCCAGUUGGCCGUGAGCUGAUCUCGGCUUUUUUUUCUCGGUGAAUAAGCAGCAAUCAAUCGAAGAGAAGAGAUCGAGCGUGAGAGGAGAAGAAGCUCUCGUUGCUCCAUCCAAUUCCGACUCUGAUUCCGUCGGGUGGUGUGUUUUUGGGAAGUAUUGUGUGUGCGUAGAUAAAUUCGCAAUAGUACGCGUUCGAUAUCUAUACAAUCUUUUUUUGCGGUGUCGUUUGCGAACACGUGUUGGUGUCUAAAGUGCGCUCGGUAGUGUGCGAAAUUGUACGGAAACUUAGUUACACGGUAAAAAAAAAUAUUGGCAGCAGUUAUAUCGGUGGUGUAAUAUAAAAAGAAGGCCGCUUGUGCAAGUUUGGUUAGUGUCGACCGGUGGAAGUGUGUGUGUGUUACGUGCGUGUGUUUGCUUUCUCCACCUUCGGGCCACCCCGGGCACGACGUCGAAGGUGUGUGUUCAUUCCGCCGCAGCUUUUCGCACCGCUAGAAGAUAAAUUUGACGUAACAACUAUUCACCUUUUCGGCGUUUGUGUUGUGUAUGUGGUGUUCGACUAGUGGUAUUCGUAGCAGCAGAACAUAACCUCGAGGUUUUACGGUGUUGGUUCUUUUUUUUAGUCGUGUGCAUCGAAGUGUUUAGUAAUUAAAAGCAAAACAAAGUAUCCUCGCGGUUUGUUAUUGUGUCCGUAAACCAGUCUCGCACGUGUAAAAAGUUCGACCAAGCGAACCAUGGCCCUGUCACUACGUUUGCUAGUGCUGGGCAUUCUCUGUGCUACGUAUAUCGGCUUCACGGGGGCCUCGAAGCUCGACAAGUUCCCACUAGACAAACCGGCAGCACUGAAGGAUGAUACCCUGCAGAGCAAUAUGCUUCCCGAUGAGGAACCAACGCAUGUUACCAAGGGUCCUAAAACUGUGGGUGUUAAGCCAACGAAGGCGCUGAUAUUCUCACCUGCUAAAGGAACAACGAUCGCGAAAGGAUCCGGAAAUGAAUUGAACUCCACGCUGCAGUGUUCGGAGCGUCAGUUCCGCUGCAACGAUGGCCACUGCAUCCACGUUAGCUUCAUCUGCGAUGGCGACUCGGACUGUGCCGACGGCAGCGACGAGGAUCCUCGUGAGUGCAGAGUUACAGAAACAAACUGUUCCGAUGACAAAUUCCGGUGCAAAAGUGGCCGCUGCAUUCCAAAGCAUUGGCAGUGCGACGGCGAGAAGGACUGCACCGAUGGUUCGGACGAGGACUCGGAAAAGUGCCAAAGCAAGGUUUGCUCAUCGGAGGAAUUCACGUGCCGCAGCGGAACCGGGACCUGCAUUCCGCUGGCCUGGAUGUGCGACCAGAAUCGGGACUGCCCGGACGGAUCGGACGAGAUGUCAUGCAACGAAACAUGCCGCUCGGAUGAGUUCACAUGCGCCAACGGCCGAUGCAUCCAGAAGCGCUGGCAGUGCGACCGGGACGAUGACUGCGGGGACAACAGUGACGAGAAGGGUUGCCAGGCGAUGACAUGCGAUCCGUUGAAGCAGUUCCCGUGCUCGGAAAACUACUGCAUCACGGCCAAAUGGCGUUGCGAUGGGGAACCAGACUGUCCCGAUGGGUCGGACGAGAGGGGUUGUACGAAUCCAACGCCGCAAACAGCGAAUCCGUGUCUCUCGUUGGAGUACCAAUGUAGCGAUCGGAUUACCUGUAUUCACAAGAGCUGGAUUUGCGAUGGGGAAAGAGAUUGUCCGCAGGGGGAUGAUGAGUUGCCACCGAUCUGUCAGAAUGUCACCUGCCGACCGGAUCAGUUCCAGUGCAAGAAGGACAAAACCUGUAUCAAUGGACACUUUCACUGCAACGGAAAGAAAGAUUGUUCCGAUGGCAGUGAUGAGGUAGAUUGCGAACGACCUGCGGUUAAGUGUAACUCAAAGACGGAAUUUGACUGUGGCGGUGGCAUGUGCAUUCCAUUGUCCAAGGUGUGCGACAAGAAGGCCGAUUGUCCGGAGUUCCAGGACGAGCCAAUAGACAAGUGUGGCAAGAAUGAGUGCUUACAGAACAAUGGCGGAUGUAGCCAUCUGUGUGUGGACACUCCCGCUGGAUACUACUGCGACUGUAAAUCGGGCUUCAAAUUGGUUGAUAACCGAACCUGCGAGGAUAUCGACGAGUGCGCCGAGGCCGGAUCCUGCUCGCAGAAAUGUACCAACGAAAUCGGCACAUUCAAAUGUGAGUGUAUGUCGGGGUACCUGCGGGAUCCUAGGGAUCACACCAAGUGUAAGGCGACCGAAGGGCACGCUUCGUUGCUUUUUGCCAGGCGGCAUGACAUACGGAAGAUAUCGCUCGAUCACCGCGAGAUGACUUCGAUUGUGAACGACACCAAAUCGGCGACCGCGCUGGACUUUGUGUUCCGCACCGGAAUGAUCUACUGGAGCGAUGUGUCCGAACAACGGAUUUACAAGGCACCAAUCGAUGAGGGAUCGGACAAAACGGUCGUUGUGAAGGAUCAAACCGUCACAUCGGAUGGGCUGGCUGUGGAUUGGAUCUACAACCAUAUCUACUUUACCGACAUCAAGAAGUCGACCAUCGAGAUUGCGAACUUUGAUGGCAACAUGGGCAAAAUAUUGAUCAAAGAUGAUCUGGAGAUACCGCGAGCGAUCGCGUUGGACCCCAUCGAUGGCUGGAUGUAUUGGACGGAUUGGGGAACUGCACCCCGUAUCGAGCGUGCCGGUAUGGAUGGAACCCAUCGACAGGUGAUCGUGAACUAUGAAGUUAAAUGGCCUAACGGAAUAACGCUGGAUCUGGUGCGCAAGCGUGUCUACUGGGUCGACGCCAAGCUGAACGUAAUCUCAUCCUGUAAUUAUGAUGGAACCAAACGAUCGGUAGUACUUUACUCGGCGGAUUAUCUGAGGCAUCCGUUUUCGAUUACCACCUUCGAAGAUUACGUCUACUGGACCGAUUGGGACAAAGAAGCCGUCUUCAAGGCGAACAAGUUCAACGGAAAAGAUAUUGAGCCAGUGACAGCGCUUCACAUGCUCCAGCAUCCGAUGACGAUUCACGUGUACCAUCCGUACCGCCAACCGGACGGUACGAACCACUGUCAGGCGGUGAACGGCCACUGCUCCCAUCUCUGUCUGCCGGCGCCACAGAUCAACAGUCGAAGUCCGAAAAUUUCCUGCGCGUGUCCAACUGGUCUCAAACUGAUGGACGAUGGGCUCAUGUGUGUGGAAGACGUGGCGACGAGUGCAACCGCGAAGGGUCCAACGGCGCAUGAAAAGCCCCUUCCCGGCGGAAGCUCGAACUCGACCCAAGACAACAAACAGAUCGAGCAUCACUCCAGUAAUAUUUACGAAAGCAACAAGGAUAUCAUUGCCACCACUUCAACGGGGAAUGGCUCCUCGUCUUCAUCCUCAUCCUCGUCCUCCCCAUCCUCUUCCUCGGCGACGCAUGGGGACAAGAACUCCACAUCCCCAACAUCGACACCAUCGUUCGCUAACAGCUUGCACAUCGCUGCCACCUGCACAAAUCUGACCCACGUUGAGACCGUUAUGGCAACGCUAAAAUCCAUCAAAACGGUCAACAAAACGGCGCUCCAUCUAUCCUAUUUGAAUCGUCGCCACGGCAAAAAUCUGACCUCGACGAAUCUUCCCCAACAAGAAGGCGACUUUGACAGAACAGACACGACACAGACAGAGACGACGACGGCGACGACGCCGACCGGAAACACGACCGAGUAUCGGUACUGGGAAUAUCGGAAACGCUUCAAUCUGUUGGAGGCACUUUUCUCGGAACAGUUCGAAGAUAUCGAGGGACCGGACGGGGGCAAUCGGGCACUGUACGAUAAUGAGCUGCACGCGUCCUACGAAUACGUGAAGUGGCUCUGUCGGAAGUAUCAAGCUACCAUGCGGAACGGUACCGAUGGAACCAUUAUCCAGCCGGGCGUGGUGGAGAACGACUCCGGACUGGUUGCGGGCAUCGCCAUUGCCGUCAUCUCGAUUUUCGUCAUCGCAUUCUUUACGAUCGCCUAUCUGGUCUAUCGACACCACGUGCAUCGAAACUCCACCUCGAUGAACUUCGAUAACCCGGUGUACCGAAAGACCACGGAGGAUCAAUUCAGUCUGGAGAAAAACUUGCCGAGCCGCAUGUACCCAAGCACCGUGGGGGAAGAGAUAAAUGCGUUCCAUUACCGCACCUAAGCGAAUGAGCGCAGUACAGAUCACAGCCUAGAGAGAGAGAGAGAGAGCAAAGCAAGCAUACGUAUCGUCACAUCGUCACAGGCCCAGGAACCACUGAACAGACCGAGCACAAACGAAUACGUUUAGCCGCCGUCGGGACGCGAGAAACAAGCCAACACAAUGCUAAAACAAGGAACCAACAAAAAAGAACUAAAACCACCAUCACCACCAAAUCGAGGAAAAGACUACUAAGCUAAUCUUUUUGUUUGUUUGGGAAUGAAAACAAAUAACUUUCUUCCGCGAAUCAAAAUGAGCUUUGCACGAUAAACACGAUGAUGAGGGCAACACACCGUUCAAAGUAAACAAAACAACAGUGGCAGCUAGCGAAAAACAAAACGGCAUUGUUUAGCAAAAAAAAAAGCGUGUCUCCUCAAAGGGCUAAUUUCUGUUCCAAAGCUUAAUGUCUUUCUUUUCGUUCUAAUGUGCACCUCGUAUUGAAUCAUCUUAGUAGCAUAAUAUGGUUAGUAGCAAACGUAAACGCGUUUGUUUUUUUUGUUUUUGAAUAGAAAAAUUAUGUAGGAAAUUCCGGAAGAGUGGGAACAGAUUUCUAUAUAUUGAGAUGUGUGCGUGUGAAUAUGGCGCCUGAUUUCCACGUAGAUCAUUAUCCUACGCGUUAUGUUUGUAAAAAAACAUCAAUCUACGGUCAAACCGAAUCAAGUUCGUUGUUUUACAUCUCAUGUAAAAAUUGUACGUUAGGAAGCUCGUCUUUUUGUAUAACUUUUCUGCGGAACAAGAAAAAACCAAACAAAAAAAAUGUGACUUCUAUUUGUUCCUCCGUUUCGUAACACUUCAAUUCUAGAUCGAUUGAGAGUUAAAAAAAAAUCAUUGUAAAGUAAAAUACUAGCACAAAAGAAAGUGUUGUUUAACUAGACUAACAAGCAAAGGGUGUAGAUAUUUUUUCGUUGCAAUUUUUAAACAGUAAUGUUGAAUAAAAGUCAAAACAAAACUAUUCCAGCGAUUUGACAUGGUUAUGUCAUUUUAGUAGGUUAAAUUUUACUCACCUUAAACUAGCAGAACUGUUCGAUGACCUAACCUUAGCAGCACCGAAAAUGUUUUCUUUUCCUUUGUUUUUUCUUUGCGGAGUUUCACGAAUUUCUUCCGAUUACGAGUGCGGUUACUCGCCUGUCAUUGUAAAAAGAGAGAAGAAAAAAGCAGUAAUCCUUACAGUUCUUCCAUAGUAACAUGUUCAAAUUUACGUACCAGUCAUGUUCCUUCCAAUCACAUUGCUCAUUGAAAUGGAAGUUGCUCAAAGCAGAGAUAAAACUAUGUUCCCAAAAUCAGUAGUGGUCGGUUACAAUAGAUCCGGUAUAUUUACGGCGUGAUCCUGCCAGAAUUAGCAAUUAGAAAAAGCCAACUUUAUUGAUGUUAUACCUUUCGUUAUACUCGGAAACUAGAGAGAACAAGCUCUUUCGAAUAAAUAUUCUUCCUUCCAAAACAGAUACCUAACGACAUAAACCUUUAAAAAAAAAUCUAGAUCGUUAAAAAUGAUAAAAUUGUAAAAUUAUCCUUUUUAGAGGCGAAUGAACUGCAAAGUUUAAAGCCUCUUAAAAACAAAGAAAGAAAAGAAAUUAUCCUGCCAAAAAUCGAAAUGAAAAUAUAUCUGGUGGGAAUAAGUGAAGUAAUGAAAAUCUUUUUAUCUAGCUCAACACUGUGUUUGAGUCCUACUCUGUGGUAUCUGUAGAACAUUUUAAGUGAUAGUGAAACAUGAGGGGAUACAUCCCUAUCAAUGCAUCGCAAAACGAGAUUAACAUGAGAGCGGCAAAGCGUUUAAAAGCAACAAACAAUUUAUCGUAACAACUAACGGCAUAAAAUUAGAGGAAGAAAUAAAUACAUCACAACUCCUUUUUUGAUAUUCUGUAAAUACAGCAGCCAAUCCAACCCCAAACACCGAUAAGCGAAAUUACCCAAUUACCCUAAUCAUACUCAAGCACAUUUCCCCACAAAAGAAAAUGAAAAUUAAAACAGAGAACAAAACUUCAAAAAAAAGCUAAACAAUGAGUAGCGUACGUGUAAGGAAGCAGCAUUCAAGAAAAAAGAAUACGCAAACAAAAUUUUAAUCCGCAGUAUGAAAACAAGGUUGUUUGCCGGGUGGGGGCAAGCAACGGGAACCGAAACGGCCAAACGAGAAGAAACGGAAUGUCAAUACGCAUAGGCGGCAGAAUAAAACGAAACAAAGAAAAAAAAACUAUAAAAAUAAACAAAAAAUUGAAACUUUUUUGUACAUAUUAAGUGUGGAGGAUGAAACAAGAAACGAAACAUAAAGGAAAAGCAAAACAUAACAUUUAAUUAUAUACACUGUAAGCGUCAAGUGGAAAUAAGAAGGUUAAAGAGGAUAAAAAAUGGAAGUAAUGUACUGCAAUACAAAAUAAAGAAAAUAAAUUUAAAAA